CGGGGUGUGCUACGUGGCAGCAGGAGCGCGGGAACAGCGCGCUCGCCUGAGGCCCCCCCGCCGGGCCCGCUCCCCUUUGCUAGCGUCCGGCCUAUCGCGUUAUUUUAUUUUUUUAAAAUUUAUUUAUUUAUUUUUUAUUUUUUUAAGGUUUCGCCUUGUUUAGUGCAAGUGUGUGAUUUACGCAGGGUGCCCUAGGCUUGGGUACUGGUGGCUGCAGGAGGCUGAGGAGGGACGUGGCUGUGUCCAAGGACAGCAGCCCCAUGCCCUGGCGUUCCCGAAAGUUGCCGCUGGCCGUGUCCUAGCGGGCUGCUCUCCCUCGGCCUUCACCAGCCUACAAACAGUAGUAAAAGUCUUACUCUGGUUCAGGAGUCACUGCUGCUGCUGCUAACAGGGAUGGCAUGGCUAGAGUACUGUAUGAGUAAGUUUGUUCCCCUUGUCUUUCUAUGCUAACAACCCAGUUAUGGGGCCAAACUCUUUCAUCCAUAUAAAAUUGAAAACAAUUCCAUGGUGAAAGGCUCCCUUUCUCCCUAAUUUGUAGGGAUGAACCAGUGAAAGAAAAAAUGAUGCAGAAGUAAUAUAAGCCUGGUUUCAACAGCUCACAGAAUCUGCUCAGUGGCAACUUUCUAGCAAUGAGAAUUUAUGCUGCUUUGCCAUGCCCGUGCAUACAGGGAUAGUAAAUAGCUUGCUGCCAGGAUGCUUCUCUUUCCAACUUUUACUGAAAAGAAAAAAAAAAAAAAGAAAAAGAAAAAAAAAGGAAGCUGAAGCAACAUUUUGCUUUGUGAAAUAAACACAGAAGUUACAGCCUGUUAUUUAAAAUUGACCACCUCAAAGAUCUGGAGAAUAUACUUCCUGGAUCAGGUUAAUAAACUUCCUAAAAAACUCUAGGCAUGUCUGUACUGUGGAGAACAGUAAAAUGUGCUCGUAAUGGGGGAUGCAGCUCAGUUGGGAUACUGGCUCAAGUUCAUAAGCAAUGCCACUGUUCUGCUGUGCCAACAAACAGUGUGGUUGUAUUGAUUUUUGUAUUGCCCUGACUCCUACCAUGCCAAAUCUGAGCAACAAACUGCACCAGUGGGUAACUGCAGGGCUUAUCUACAAUGUUGCAGGGUUUUUCUGAGUUUGUCUAGGCUAAAUCUUACUUUAUUAUUCCUGUGUCAAGCUCAUCAUGUAGCAUGAGUUGGCACUUCUGAUGCCAACUAACAAUCUUGGUUGUUAACUGACCUGUGCUCACAAUUAAUCUCUUAUUUACAACAUGCUGUGAGGUGUUUGGGGCUGAAAAAAAGAACAUUUUUCCUUCUUUCUCUAGUUGUAAGUUGUGAAUUUAUAUACUCAGUGAAACACAGGUGAUAUGCUGAUGAUAUAUAAUUUAGCCUAAAAUUCACAAUAAGUUAUUAAAUCACCAUUGUUGAUGAUUCAAAUAAUAGCCACAUACUUGUAUAUUAGACAUGAUUUGUCACAUGCAACUGUUGGGGAGAUUAUAACUUCAGAAGAUAAAAUAUUUAUAAAUAAAAUGUGCAAAGCUGAGUAUUUUUACAUUAAUUGAUAAACUGGUAUGUGCAAUGAAGUGCCUCAGUGCCUACAAUGCUGGCCACAUAGUGCCACACCAGCACCAAAAGAGACUUUAGUGUGAAGGUAGAGGUGUAUUCACUGAGAAAAUACACUAUUUCCCAGAAUAGGGUAGUAGGAUUUGAAUUGUAGGCCUAUCAUGUAGGGAUCAAAAGGUGCUAUUGCUACAUGCAAGAUGGAAAAUAUAAAGAUGAAAUGUACCUGUACAACAAAGUAUAUCAGUGAUUUUUCCUUUUUAGUCAGAUAAGUGAGCAGAAUUCUGAAUCCUUUCCAGAAUGCCUAAAAAGAUGUAAAUUGGGAAAUUAGCUGGUGAGUCCUGAAUAUGCAACUGAAUAUGUCAAGCCACCUUUGACAGAUGCGAGGACUGCAGACCCAUGAUUUACUGUCUACUCAAAGCCAAGUGCAGUUUUUCUUUGAACAAACUCUUCUAUCCUUUUUAAACUGGGUUAGAAUUGCAAUUGUAUUUUCACCUGUGCAGGGUGCAGACUGCACCAUCCAGAGUGCUCCAGUGAUAGCUUAUGCUGGGAGGCAGGGCUCUUUCACAGCAGCUCCUGGCUCAGGCUGGAUUACAGACUCAGCAGAAACCAUUGUCUUGCAAGGCAGCAUGGGCUCUGGAAGAGGUAACUUGUGCAGUAACUCCCUGUUCCUGGUUCUGCAUGGAGCAGCAUUCAGGUCACAGCAGAGCUGGGUGCCAGCUGGCUUGCAGGCUUUGUGUGACUGAGCAGUUGGAAGGACAAAUCUCGUGUUUAUUCCUCACUUCCCUUUGAAUGUCUUGCUAGUGCACUUCUAAUGCCUGAACAAAAACUAUAAUACACUUCUUGAAAGAAUCACAUAAGCAUAGAAUAGUUUGGUUGGGAGGGACCACCAAAGAUCAUCUAGUCCAAUCUCCCCUGCCUUGGAUAUUUCCAGGGAUGUAGCAGCCACCACCUAUUGUCCAGCCAUCUCCAAUGUUUCACCAAACAAAAAUGUCCUUCCAAACCCCUGUGCAUUUUGUUGUUUUAAUUUCACAGUGGUGACAUGGAAUUACACCUGUCUUCUAUGAUGCUGUGACUCUUGACUGGACAAUGUGCUGAGCAACCUGAGGUGACUUUGAAGCUGGUCCUGCUUUAUGCAUGAGUAGAGCAAGCUGGCCUCCAGUGCACUCAUCCAGCCUAAACUAUGUGGUGUGAUUUGGUGUGCUACUUAUACAGAAUUUGCUUUGCACAACUUACAUCAGUAGAUAAAGUUGCCGAAGUUGUAGGCUGCAAGCUGUAAACUUUCACCUAGAUAUUUUCAGCACAUGUUAUGGUCAAGUAAAAGAAGGCCCCAGAGCCAGUUCAAGUCAGAAGACAAGGAAAUUGCAAUCAGCAGCAGAAGCUUCCACCUUAGAGAGAAGUGGCCCAGACACUAUGUAGAGACAGUGAGGGGACACAAGGAAGAAUGGGAAGGCCCCAGUCAGAAUCACAGAAUCAUGGAGUGAUUGGAGCUGGAAGAGGCCUCUGGAGAUCAUGUAGUCUAAAGCUCUGCUAAAGCAGGUUCACCUAGAGCAGGUGCACAGGAUCAUGUCCAGGCAGGUUUAUAGUAUCUUCAGAAACUCUCUGGGCAGCCAGUGUCAGUGCUCUGUCAUCCCCACAGCAAAGAAGCUUUUCCUCAUAUUUAGAUGAAUCUCAUUGUGCUUCAUGUUGUGCCUAUCAUGAGCUUAAUAUUACUACUGGAACCAUCAGUUGCAUGAGAGGUGGGAAAUUUCUAAGGGCAUAAUUGCCCAGCAAUUUUUUUGUUUGAGGUCUUUUUUGGGGAGCACCCAGCUUAAGCUGUAGCACUACUUAUAAAAAGGACUUAAUAGAAGAGUCUCUUUUUGGCUUAUUGAUUUAGUGAAAACCUUGUUGAAUGCUGUUAUGGUGGCUGGCACGUGUAAUACCCGUAACAACUGUUCUGCGACUCUUAAGUGUAAUUUACUUUAAUUAAAAAUUUGUGUAGCUAAAGUGAAACAGAACAAGCUGGCUGCUUUAUUGUGUGAAAUAUGACAGAUUUGUUUCCAGAAUUUGUGGAACAAAUUUUAAUGCUGCAUUUCUGGUUUUGCUGUGUCCCUUCUAUUGGUCUGUCCUUUUGUUAACGUUAGAAGUAGCCAGUAGAUGAGUUUUUUGUCUGUCAGGGGUCAUUUCAGCUCACUUUUCAAUGUGAAAAAUAAUAGUUAUGGACAAGUAAUCUAAAGCAUUCCUUCCAGCAAUUUAUACUAAAUAUCUUUAGAGGGAAAACUGAAAUAUUACUUUUGAAUUAUGCAAAUCAAUAUUUUAUGUCCUUUUCAGUUAAUCUGAGUAUAUAAAAUUUGCAAUUUUUAUGAUUUACACACAAAGAUAAUUGCAAUCCAUUUGGUGAAGGCAUCUUUAAAAAUCAAUGUAAAAAAUAAGUUACAUGUAAAUGAAAGAGAAGCAAAAAGUGCAGCCACAAGCCAUUACAAAUAUAAUGAAAGUGAAUUUAGUGCUCAAGAUUUUUAUGACCUUCUGUUCUUAAACAAUUAAGAAGGUCUUUUGAGUUUAAUGCAAACUGGAGAAGACGCAUUUCCAUGCACAUAUAUAUGAUUUUCCAGACUAAAGGAACACUGUGAGAAUUAAAGCUCCCAGAUGAAAAAUAAAAAUUAUGAUUCCUAUAUCUCUGAAGUCAGCAUGCUGUAUCCAUCAAUAAAUUAUAAAAUGUGUGCUUUAAAAUGUUCAUAAACCAUGGAAAAGUAAGGAAUUACAGGAAUUGUAAUUUCUGGAACAUAUACAUAUAAAUUAAAUUCCAGAUUUGUAGUAGCCUAGUAUAUUACUUUCUCUGGCACUAGCCAGUCAAAAAUCCAAAGAAGUGUAGUCCCAGAAAAAUAAGGAAUCACUGAAUGCUUAAAUAAAAAGUUGUGGCUUAUAUCUAUAUACAAAGUGAUUAAAAUAUGCAUAUUUCUGGAGCUUUGCACCUGUGUAUUGAAGUGAUUGCACGUAAUUAGCAAUGUGAUUAUCAAAUAUGUUUUCGCAUGCCGCAUAUAAUUAGACUUACAGAAACACACUACAUUUAGAAUAUUUUAAUGUAGAUAAACUUUGAGGGCAGAAAUGAAGUGUUGUUAAAGAAAAGCAAAUUGUUUAACUCCUGAUGUGCCAACUGCUGCUACCUCUAUCUCCUGUAUCCUUCUGCUGGGAAGAGCAGUGGGAUGAGCUUUUCCUCCCCAUCCUUAGUGCUGCUAAAGGAGCAGUGUGCAGCUCCAAAUUGUGGGACACUGAUGACACAAAAAGGAAGGAAAAAAGAAGGCAACAGGAUUAGUGCUGGAUCAAUGCUAUCUUGAUGCAUCCUCUUUUGAGUAACUUUGUCUCUGAAAUAAAAUGAUCAUUAUAAAUUAAAUGGUCACAAUUCUAUGUGAUUACCAUAUGGUAAUCACACAGAAUUUACACCUCAAACUAUGGGAAAGUUAUGCUUGUCUAUUAAAUUGUAAUAAAGAUAGGUUUCUGUCUGGAAAACAUGGCUUUAUUUUGGGUUCCUGUUAUUCUGUGAUCCUGAUUUCCCACAUUAAAUGAAGUUAAAUCAGAAAUA